rnacentral:lncRNA from 1 species
UUAGCCAGUUAGCCAAAAAUCCAACCCUUAAAUAAUAUCAUCCCUUUUUUGAAACCCUCUUGAGCCUAUAAUCAUUUUUUUUGUUUAAAACUCAUUACAAACCGAGAAGUGAAAAACAAUGUUAUCACCCUAUUCAAAGGGUUGAAAGAGUCUUGUUUGGAGUUGUGUGAGGUUGAAUAAUUAUGUUUGUAAUAUUUCAGAAGUU